rnacentral:rRNA from 1 species
GGGCAGCGGGAUUGAAGCUUGCUUCAAUUGCCGGCGACCGGCGCACGGGUGGGUAACGCGUAUCCAACCUUCCGUACACUCAGGGAUAGCCUUUCGAAAGAAAGAUUAAUACCUGAUGGUAUGAUGAGAUUGCAUGAUAGCAUCAUUAAAGAUUUAUCGGUGUACGAUGGGGAUGCGUUCCAUUAGGUAGUAGGCGGGGUAACGGCCCACCUAGCCAACGAUGGAUAGGGGUUCUGAGAGGAAGGUCCCCCACAUUGGAACUGAGACACGGUCCAAACUCCUACGGGAGGCAGCAGUGAGGAAUAUUGGUCAAUGGACGAGAGUCUGAACCAGCCAAGUAGCGUGAAGGAUGAAGGUCCUACGGAUUGUAAACUUCUUUUAUAAGGGAAUAAACCCUCCCACGUGUGGGAGCUUGUAUGUACCUUAUGAAUAAGCAUCGGCUAACUCCGUGCCAGCAGCCGCGGUAAUACGGAGGAUGCGAGCGUUAUCCGGAUUUAUUGGGUUUAAAGGGAGCGCAGACGGGUCGUUAAGUCAGCUGUGAAAGUUUGGGGCUCAACCUUAAAAUUGCAGUUGAUACUGGCGUCCUUGAGUGCGGUUGAGGUGUGCGGAAUUCGUGGUGUAGCGGUGAAAUGCUUAGAUAUCACGAAGAACUCCGAUUGCGAAGGCAGCACACUAAUCCGUAACUGACGUUCAUGCUCGAAAGUGUGGGUAUCAAACAGGAUUAGAUACCCUGGUAGUCCACACGGUAAACGAUGGAUACUCGCUGUUGGCGAUAUACUGUCAGCGGCUUAGCGAAAGCGUUAAGUAUCCCACCUGGGGAGUACGCCGGCAACGGUGCAACUCAAAGGAAUUGACGG